rnacentral:rRNA from 1 species
CCUACGGGUGGCAGCAGUGGGGAAUAUUGGACAAUGGGCGAAAGCCUGAUCCAGCAAUGCCGCGUGUGUGAAGAAGGUCUUCGGAUUGUAAAGCACUUUCGACGGAGACGAUGAUGACGGUACCCGUAGAAGAAGCCCCGGCUAACUUCGUGCCAGCAGCCGCGGUAAUACGAAGGGGGCUAGCGUUGCUCGGAAUGACUGGGCGUAAAGGGCGCGUAGGCGGUUUAUGCAGUCAGAUGUGAAAUCCCCGGGCUUAACCUGGGAACUGCAUUUGAGACGCAUAGACUAGAGGUCGAGAGAGGGUUGUGGAAUUCCCAGUGUAGAGGUGAAAUUCGUAGAUAUUGGGAAGAACAUCGGUGGCGAAGGCGGCAACCUGGCUCGAUACUGACGCUGAGGCGCGGAAGCGUGGGGAGCAAACAGGAUUAGAUACCCCCGUAGUC